CUUUCCUUAUGGCGGCCGAGGCUAAAGCUAGUUAGCUGGAGACGCUGGAAACUCUUUUCUGAACAGAACAAACUUCACGCUGUGAUCCCCGAAUAUGGUUUUUAAAGAGCUCCAGAAGCACAAAGGUCGACAGUAAACCGGAAGAAGAAGGAAAGUCUUUCUACAAACAUGUCUGGAGUCCAGCAGCUGAGAUACAUGUUGAAACUACAGUGGACACCUGCUGAUGAAGGAAUGAUCACAAACCAGGAAGAAGAAAUGUGUCAUUUAAAAGAAGAGAACAAAAGAGGCAAAGGGCUGGAUGCUGUUUUUGAUUCUCCAAAUCUCUUUGACAGAACAGACAUGCAGCCGUUGUUGGUGAUUAAAGAAGACAUUCUCCCUGAACACCAGGAAUGC